rnacentral:lncRNA from 1 species
CACACGCAGAAGGAAUAUUAGGUCACACCGUGACGUUGAUCACAUCCCGGCUUCAUUAAAUGUGACAUUUACUGAGUCCCAAGAAUAAAACAAGAGGAAUUUUAAAGGUUAAAGACCAAGGAGGACAUGAAAGAGAAAGUAAAAGGACUUUCUUGGAGUCACGCUGACUUACGCCUCGGGAGGGGCACGAUGCUCCGUGGGGCUUGGCUCCUCAGUGGGGACGCACCGGAAGCAAAUCUGUAGAACGGUGGGAACAUGAUGUCUCGAGGCUGGCAUCUCGUGGAACAUCAGCGUCACCCGCUGCUGGCUUUCCUGUCGCGAGCUACAGAUGCGGGGCGUCUCGUCUGCAAGGUCAGAGCUGUUCGUCAGAGAGACUAAAGGUACCGAGUCUCGGACACCCCAGUGAGCGGUGAGUCCAGUUAUGUACUGGAACAUUUUAAAAAUCACCAAAUAAUUGGAAAUUCCUCUUUUAUCAUUAAAAAGUUACAAAACAUUCACUCAAUUAAUAAAAUCAAACACAAGAUACGUUGAGGACGAAGU